rnacentral:siRNA from 1 species
ACGCUUACAUUCCACCUGCUGU